GAGGGUAUAGCUCAGUGGUAGAGUGGAUGCUUAGCAUGCACAAGGUCCUGGGUUCAAUCCCCAGUACCUCCA
rnacentral:tRNA from 1 species